rnacentral:rRNA from 1 species
AACGAACGCUGGCGGCGUGCUUAACACAUGCAAGUCACGGGGGUCCGUAGCAAUACGGAUAACCGGCGAACGGGUGCGUAACACGUGAGCAACCUGCCGUACUCAGGGGGAUAGCCGGCCCAACGGCCGGGUAAUACCGCAUACGAUUCUUCGGGGGAGUCCCCGGGGAAGGAAACCUCUGGGGGAGUACGAGGGGCUCGCGGCCUAUCAGCUAGUUGGCGAGGUAACGGCUCACCAAGGCUAUGACGGGUAGCGGUCUGAGAGGACGACCAGUCACACUGGAACUGAGACACGGUCCAGACACCUACGGGUGGCAGCAGUCGAGAAUUUUUCUCAAUGGGGGAAACCCUGAGGAGCGACGCCGCGU